AUUGAACCGCGCGGAAUGCUUUACACAUGCAAGUCGAACGGCAGCACGGAGAGCUUGCUCUCUGGUGGCGAGUGGCGAACGGGUGAGUAAUAUAUCGGAACGUGUCCAAUAAUGGGGGAUAACGAGUCGAAAGAUUCGCUAAUACCGCAUACGCCCUACGGGGGAAAGCAGGGGAUCGUAAGACCUUGCGUUAAUGGAGCGGCCGAUAUCUGAUUAGCUUGUUGGUGAGGUAAAGGCUCACCAAGGCGACGAUCAGUAGCUGGUUUGAGAGAACGACCAGCCACACUGGAACUGAGACACGGUCCAGACUCCUACGGGAGGCAGCAGUGGGGAAUUUUGGACAAUGGGGGCAACCCUGAUCCAGCCAUUCCGCGUGAGUGAAGAAGGCCUUCGGGUUGUAAAGCUCUUUCGCAAGGGAAGAAAACUUAUGAUCGAAUAAAUCAUGAGGUUGACGGUACCUUGAUAAGAAGCACCGGCUAACUACGUGCCAGCAGCCGCGGUAAUACGUAGGGUGCGAGCGUUAAUCGGAAUUACUGGGCGUAAAGCGUGCGCAGGCGGUUUUGUAAGUCGGAUGUGAAAUCCCCGGGCUCAACCUGGGAACUGCGUUCGAAACUGCAAGGCUAGAGUGUGUCAGAGGGGGGUAGAAUUCCACGUGUAGCAGUGAAAUGCGUAGAGAUGUGGAGGAAUACCAAUGGCGAAGGCAGCCCCCUGGGAUAACAC
rnacentral:rRNA from 1 species